ACUCCCUUAGUAUAAAUAAUAUAACUGACUUCCAAUUAGUAGAAUCUGAUAAAAUUCAGAAAGGAGUA
rnacentral:tRNA from 1 species